GACGACGGCGUCCGCCUCGGAGCGUGGCCGAAGCGUGCGGCCCGAGGACCCGGGCGUUCCUAAGAGACGGUGAUGAUACUUGUCUGAGACAACAGCCCGGCGGGAGAAGAACUUCCCAGACGGUGAGGUGGCUUCGUUUGGCCCCUGACCGGCCUCUCGCCGUGACUCACGUCUUCAGCCAUCCGAGAGAUAAGCGGAGCCUGCAGAGGGGAUCAAAGCAGGGCGGCGGAUGCGGAUGGAUCGACCUCCCGGCAGAGCGCCCCGUCCCAGAUGAGGGGAUCCCCCCGAGAAGGAAGUAAAGCCGGAUAGCAGCAGCGAAGGUGAAGCCUUGUGCAGGUGGUCUACUUGCAAGAUAUCCCAGCCCAGGAUGCCAGAGGACAGGUUCCGUGCAGAGAGGCAGAGCCGAAGUUCGCGAUCGGCCGCACCGAAGCCGGCGCGGGGGACGUCUCGACGUACGCAUCCUAUCGAGGAUGGGUCUUGUCCUAUUACGUUACAAAAGGUCUCUGAUGCCUAUUUUCUGAGGAUCUACCAUUUGAUGUUGAGAAGCAGCAGCGAGAAGAUGUCUCGGGGCAUUUUGUUCAGCACAGUGUUUCAAAUAAGGGUUGCGGUCACUGUGUGAGUUAGAGUCUCCUGCUGUGUGCCAGAGCGUGUCUGUCUGUGAGAGUCGGUGGGUCUGGGUGUGCUUGUGUGUGUGCGUGUUGUGCGGUUCUAACCUUGUGUGUAUUGCUUUUGCUUUUCAGGACUUUAAAUUCACUUUUAAAUUUAGAAUAAAAAAUCCCCAGCUGGGGGGGUUUUUUUUUUUUCCCUCCCAGCUGGGGUUUUUUUUCCUCGGUCCCGGCCGGUCUGCGAGGCGACAGUCAUCGCCUAAGUUUGGGCACGGACCGGCCCCGGACCGGGGUUUUCGUCAGGCAGGCGGAUCUCGAGGCUCCCGGGAACCGAGUUCCCGUGGGGUAGGAGGGGUGUGUGUGUGUGUGUGUGUGUGUGUUGUGCGGUUCUAACCUUGUGUGUAUUGCUUUUGUGUUUCAGGACUUUAAAUUCACUUUUAAAUUUAGAAUAAAAAAUCCCCAGCUGGGGGGGUUUUUUUUUUUUCCCUCCCAGCUGGGGUUUUUUUUCCUCGGUCCCGGCCGGUCUGCGAGGCGACAGUCAUCGCCUAAGUUUGGGCACGGACCGGCCCCGGACCGGGGUUUUCGUCAGGCAGGGUGAUUUCGAGGCCCCCGGGAACCGAGUUCCCGUGGGGUAGGAGGGGUGUGUGUUGUGGGGUUCUAACCUUGUGUGUAUUGCUUUUCAGGACUUUAAAUUCACUUUUAAAUUUAGAAUAAAAAAUCCCCAGCUGGGGGGGUUUUUUUUUUUUCCCUCCCAGCUGGGGUUUUUUUUCCUCGGUCCCGGCCGGUCUGCGAGGCGACAGUCAUCGCCUAAGUUUGGGCACGGACCGGCCCCGGACCGGGGUUUUCGUCAGGCAGGGUGAUUUCGAGGCCCCCGGGAACCGAGUUCCCGUGGGGUAGGAGGGGUGUGUGUUGUGGGGUUCUAACCUUGUGUGUAUUGCUUUUCAGGACUUUAAAUUCACUUUUAAAUUUAGAAUAAAAAAUCCCCAGCUGGGGGGGUUUUUUUUUUUUCCCUCCCAGCUGGGGUUUUUUUUUCCUCGGUCCCGGCCGGUCUGCGAGGCGACAGUCAUCGCCUAAGUUUGGGCACAGACCGGCCCCGGACCGGGGUUUUCGUCAGGCAGGCCGAUUUCGAGGCUCCCGGGAACCACGUUCCCGAGGACCACCGCCAGCAGGGUUAUAACGGGGCGGUCGAGAGGAGAGCGAAGGUGAGCGUUCGUGUGAGCAGAAGCCGGCUUCUGUGGCGAAUGAGUAUUGUGUUUUCUGCGUGCUC